ACACACACACACACACACACACACAUGAUUGCACUAAAAAGAUCAGGUGUUUGGUAUGCUAUGUAGCCUCCUUGUAGGGAUAAAAACUGCGUGUUCAUCCCUGACAUUUGGUGCCUAGUCUUACAUGAAAACAUAGGAAGCUUUUAAGAAACAUCCACAGAGGGAGUUAUCAGUUAAAGUCUGUGUUUCCUCUUAGAGCCUAUGUUAUAACCACAGGUCAGGUUAGCUGUGAACUUCCUCUUGCUCUUGGUACUUUCCACAGAAUGGAAAGGGUGUCCUCUAAUAUACUAUAGGAGCUAACAGGGAUUUUGUUGUAUAACAGUUUCCUCUUUGAUUGAAAUAUUUCAUCAUGUAAGUUCAAGGUCAGCCCGAGACUGUCUCAGGUUUUUACUUCUUUACCCUUAGUGGCAUGGAAUUAUUCAGCUUGUGCAAGUUCCCUUUGUUCUUUUCCCCAGAAAUCCAAGUCCCUGAGGGCCAAGUCUUCACAGCUAGGCCUUCAGGGCAUGAAGUUUACUCUUUAUUUUUUCCUCUUAGGUAGCUGUGAGACCAGUUCAUCUUCCAUCCACACUUCUAAGCAGAGCUUGGGGCGCUUAGUGUAUGCCAAGUUGCCCAUUCGUGAAAUCCUUCAUUCUUUAUUCACUGGGUAGCUGGCUACCCUGGAGUUGACAAGUCAUGGGCGCUGUUCUAGGUGCUGAUGAUACAUCCACAUAGACUGGGCUUUGCCUUUAAGAACUGGGGCCUUGGUUUUAUUAGGUUAAGAGGUCCAACAAUUUUCAAUUGAGAAGGUAGAAGAAUAUCUCUGAGGAGUUAUGCCCCAAGUUAAGUGUAAGUGUAAAUGUAAAUGUAAAAUGCAAAUCUCUUUAGCAUCCUAAGUGGCACUUGUUCUGUGCUCUUAUAGCUCAUGGCUUACUAAAAUCAUCAAAUACAUUUACCUGCAAUUCUACUUUUUUAUCUGAGCUCCAAUCUCUAUCAUCCACAAUAUUAUUCUGAAAAUCAAUUCUCUUAAAAUGUACCUAAUUCUACUUGAGGAAGCAAAAGAGAACUGAAAUUCAUUAAAAUCCGCCUUUCAAUAAUGCGCCAUUUUAUUGUACUAACUUUUUGUUUCAAAUAUAACACUUAAAAAUACUGAUCCAAGUAAUAAUUUAUGAGCAUCUAUCAUUGCAACUGUCUGAGAAAGGCUAGGUUACUGCUCCCAGUUUUCACUUAAAAAAUAAAGGGCUUAGAGAGAUUAAUUGCCCUAGGUUACAUAGACAUGAAAUAUUGAUUAAAGCAAGCUCAAUUCUGUUCUACACUUAAUAUUGUGCUUUUAGUAUUACUCUACAAGAGACAAGAUAACGAUAUUAUAACUACAGUCUUGAAAUACUAGGUUCUGUCAGGUGUGGUGUCCCCUAAUCUCAGCACUGUAACAUGGAGGCAGAUGGAUGAGUUCAAGGGUAGUCUUGAACUAUAAAGGGUGAGUUCAAGUUCAAGGUAGUCUUGGCUACAAAGGGAGCUCAAGAUCUGCCUGGAUUAUAUGAAACCCUGCCUGGCCCCCAACACCUCCCACAAUACACAUACAAAUGAAUAAAGACUAUAUUAUUAAUCUUUACCAAAUUAUUUACAGAAAAGAAAUAGACUCUAGGCUGUCUGUAUAGAAGAAUAAUCUUUGGGACAUUUCAAUGACAAAUCUGUUUUAAUUGUGUCCUCCACAGGGAAAAAUAUGUGUCCUUUUCUAAGAAUGCUAUAAAUAGAUAUUUAAGCAAAUUAUUUCAGACAGUAAUGAUAAAACUGCUUUUGUAUGAGUGAAAUAUUUUCGUUUCAUUAUUUAAUUCAAUUUAAAAACUGUGAUUUCUAGAUUUUUUAAAAGCUAUAGUAAAUGGAUUUUAGAAGCAUAUACAAUAAUAGUGCAAUUAUUCACUGGUAAUUUGAGGAUUUUUUUCUUUUGAGAUAGGAUUUUACACUGUAGCCUAGGCUGUCUUGGGACUAACUUUGUAGCUUAGGCAAGCUUCAAACUUGUGGCCAUCCUUCUACCUAAGUCUUCUGAGUACAAGGAUUACAGACAUGUGUCACCAAACCCAGCUUUCACUGCUCAUCUAUCUUAGUUAGGGUUUCUAUUGCUGUGAAGGGACACAGUGACCAUGGCAACUCUUAAUAAGGAAAACAUUUAAUUGGGGCUGGCUUACUGCUUAGUCCAUUAUUUUGAUGGCAGAAAGCAUGGUGAUAAGCAGGCAGACAUGGUGCUGGAGAAGGAGCUGAAAGUUCUACAUCUGGAUUGGCAGGCAGCAGACAGAGAGAGUGAGACUGAGCCUGACUUAAACAUUUGAAACCUCAAAGCCCUCCCCCAGUGACACACUUCCUCUUACAGGGCCACACCUCGUAAUUGGGCGAGUCCCUAUGAACUUAUGGGGACAUUUUUAUUCAAACCACCAUAGCAUUUAUGAUAUACCUGGCAGGGCAUUCUGCAUAGUAUUUUACUUCUUCUUGAUUAUAACUGUAUGAACUCUCAGUUGAUUAUUACACUUGAUGAUCAAGACAUAUAGACUCAGAAACUUUAGCAACUUACCGUCAAUGAAAGCCUGUGAGUACCAAAGGCAGAAUUCAAAUGUAAUGUUCUAAAACACUUUUCAUUAAGACUCUUCAUUCUAUGACUUUGCUUUAAAAACAUUGUGAUUGACGGGGUGCUCUAUUGUUUCUUCAGAGCCAUGGCUCUGGUUCUGUGAGCCCUUGAGCUUAGCUUAAAAAUAAUCUUUCAGGGGGCGGGAUAGGGAUGGGGGACAGCUCAGUUAGCAAGAGCUUGCCUUACAGUCAGGAGGAUCUGAGUUGGAGCCUCAGAACUCACAUGAGAGUGUAGGGCAUGGGCAGGCACUCGGGAUUCCAGCACUGGGGGGAGGACUCACUGGUUAGCUAGUCUUUCUUAGUUGAUUAGCUCUAGGCUAAGGAAGGAGUUUAUCUCAAGGGAAGAUGACAUCUGAGCUUGUCCUCUGGCCUCUAUGUACCUGCACAUGUGUGGGUACCACAUCUUUUCAUAUUCAGUGGACCCACUUUUCUGAUCUGUGAUUGUUUUGGGGGUAAAAAAAGUAGGAAACUGGGUCUUUAAAAUGACCCCAGUAGACACUUUUUUUUAAAAAACCUUCCCCUCUUAUAUACAUAUAUAGGAUCUAUUCCUUUUGGGUUGUAAAACAGUUUCUCAUUGCCAUUUUAUGGAGCAGCUGGCUGGAAGAGCCUCCCAAUCAUUUGGUGUGGCCAGCCUGGCCAAUGUGGCUGCCAUUGAGCUCAGAUCUGGUGCUUCAAGUUGGUCAACCCCAACUCCUAUUCCAUCUACGAGCUGCUGGACCACAAGGAGAAGCUGGUGCUGCACCGCAAGAUACAGGAGCACGUUGUUGCCAAGGAAGAUGAAAACCUGAAACAAGACUGUGAUUGGAGAGAUCUUGGCAAUGGACCUGUAUUUACAGUGCUUCAGAGACCAGAGCCCUUGAGCUAGACCAGUGAAUUGCGGCGUUGAGUAUUUAUAUGUAGAGCUGUGUGGGGGCAAUAUAUGUACUGAGUUCCCAGUGCCACUGUGAUGAAUGGUUUUGGGAUGGAAUGGUGGGAAGGCUGGAGAAGAACAGUGUGAGUAUGCUGUGGAGGGAGGCUGAACCACAUCUGGGGUUGAGCUACUGCUGGGGUCCAGGCUGACUCCUCUAGUCUGUACUGCUGCCAUGGGCAAUGUUCCAGGCAUGUUUGGAUCAAUGGUUCUGCUGUAGCUGGAGGGGUGAGGGAGGGAAGACCUGGGAGGAGUGGGGAGUAAGGGGGAUCAGGUUACAUCAUGUGAAAUUGCCAAAUAUUCAAUAAAAAAACAUUGUG
rnacentral:lncRNA from 1 species